ACUUUGGGCUUCGGGGUGUUUUGUGUUUGCGACAAAAAUCAGAUCCGAUCUCGAAGGAUGACGAUUCUCCUCACCCUCAUCACUUUGUUUUCUCGGAUCGAAGAGCAACGAGUCGUAGAAUCAAUCGAUUCAAUCCUCCGCAAUCAAUACUUUCGUUUCAAAUCCCUGCAAUUCAUGCGUGCAUUCAGCUUCACACCGUCGUGGUCGUUAUUUUGCUCCGUCACCUGAACCUCCACGAUUCUUCUUCUCUGUCACCGGAGUCCGUAGUUCGAGUCGUCGUGGUCUCAAUCUCGCUCCCGAGCUUCUCCUCCAUUGCCAUGGCUUAGGUUCAGUCUGCUACUUUCCACCAUGAGAGUGCCGGUUCAAGCUUCACCAUCGUGCUCAGCCUUCGCCGUCGUCGGGAUCAGUGACCCUAUUGCGGAUCGGAAUGAGGAAGAACGACAAUGGUGAUUUCAGCACUAUUUGCAAGUCUGGUCCUUCACAUUUCCAUUGCUUUCACUUCUGCCCCCAGACUUUUGAUAUUACAUAAAUAACCCCAAAUCAACCUCCGUACUUUUGAUUGUGCAUGUCUAUGUUUACAGGUGCAGAAAAAGCUCUAAGGUGGUCUUCUUCCGCUUGAAGUUCAGACACUAAGCCAACAGAGUAAAGAAACUGAAGCAAGGUACCAGAAGAGCAAGGAUUGCAACAAAAAAAGUCAACGCCUUGCUUCAGCUUUCCUCCCAACAAUUGGCUGUCGUAUACAAGCUGUAAUCUCACAUUAUUAUUUUUUCUUCGUCAAGCAAUCUAGCAUUGUUUAUGACAAAAAAAUUGUGAAGAUUUUUUUGGCAUCACUGUUCAAGACAAGGAGGGCAUAAAGAAAUCGUAUGGAAUAACUCAUGGGGUCUUAAUACCAGAUUGGUAAUUGUUUAAUCUUAAUGUGAUUUAUUGAGUUGAAUAUAUGUAAGUAAAGCCAUAUAUAUGCACAAUGCCAUUGAAGAUGGAUGAGGGAUGGAAUGUUGCGAGUUCAGGUUCAUGCUAACUGCCGUCUCAGAAGGAUUUAUUUUGCUGAACGUCUCUACUCAGAUGAAGAGCUUCCUCCGGAGUUCAAACUCUAUCUCCCAGUGCAGAAAGCAUGAGUGUGUUUCUGCCGUUGUCUUGGAAACUACUUUAGAUAGACCUAAAGCAUCUUAGGUGGGAGGUUCAGGAUGGCUUGUAGCAUCCAUGGUAUUAGGAAUUUGCCAUCAAAGCCGAGAACACAAUUAUAGAAAUGUACCUUAGAUUACAUACAGAAAGGAUAUUUUACUGGCCAAUGACCCGCUUGGCGCCGUCUAAGGUGUUUCUGAGCAGCAUUGCCACUGUCAUUAGGCCUACACCACCAGGGACACCAUUAGAAGCUUCUGAAAAAUCAACAUCACCAACCAACCGGUAUCCUGAUUUCAUAUAAAAUUUUGAUUAUAGAAUUUCUAUAAUAUUCUCAAUCAAAAAUAUAAGAAUAAUAAUAAUUUUUUGAGUUCUAAUUCUCUUAAAUUUGAUUGACAGAAAUAGUUUAAAUUUUUAAUAUUUAUCUGAAGAUUUUUAUUUUUAUAAUCAGUACCAUCAUAUAUGUAUACACUCAAAUAAAAAUAGAAAAUCUCUAUGCUUUGUUAUC